rnacentral:lncRNA from 1 species
GUUCUUGGUUCACCAUGGAGAUAAUGGAUUCAAAACCAUGGAAGGUGAAGGACACACAGGACUCUCAUCCUCUGGUGUUUCACUGCCCGCCGCCCUGGACAAGUACAAGAGCAUCUAUCGGAAGGACUUCUGCUGGCACGACGAUUAUCACUCACCCAUCCAGGCGCACGUACCGACACCUUCGUACCCUCCUCUGGAAGCCCUUCCCCAGUGCUACCUGCCCGAGUGCCAGCCCUCUGACCUGAGCCCGGGGCGGGCGGCGAAACUGGAGAUCCUCGCAGAGCCGAUGCACGACCUGUGCUGCUGCUCGCCCCUUCCAGCUCCUGCUCUGACAUGUGGAACUGAGGGGGAACUGGUGCCAGGGGAGCUGCCAUCUCCUAACUUGGUCACCUACCAGCAGUUCGCCCAGGAUUUGUACAAUGAAGUGCUGCUCAAUGCUGAUAAAUACAAAACCAAGAACAGGAACUCAUCUGUUUUAAUACGAGACGACUCUGACCUUGAGUGGAAAAGUAUCUACAAGCAAGAUUUCGAGCCCCGGAGAGGAAUCCCUGCUGGAUUGUACACAGAGGAGAUAAGGCCUUCUCCUGUUUUCCCUGAAGAUAACCGCUACAAUGAGAGCCGCUGGGUUUCUGAGUAUGCAGACAGCUACAGCAUCUUCCUGAAGAAGCUGGACUGGUCCUCCCCCAUCUCUGCACAGUGGCUGCCCUUUGGCAAGGACGUGCGAUGGACGCCGCGAUGGAAAUUGGUCGGUAACUGAGCAGUGCCAAGGUGGCUGAGCUCUUUGGCCCUCCAAGCUGCCUGUGUGAUACUGCUCAUCAGAAACCCUGAAAGCCUUAGAAACCUCAAUGCUAUCAAACCCACCACUGUCUGUCAGAUGUGAAAUGUUUCGCAAAGACAUCUUUAAGUGCAAAUUAUGAUUAAAAUCUCCCAAG